GGGUGACUGUGUGGAUUAGGCCUUGCGUGCAGAGGCUCGUCUGUUUCGGGGUGGGUGGUCCUUGUGCAGAGGCUGGUCUGUUUCAGGACCCUGAAGGAAGAUUGGGAAUCUGAAAAAGAUUUAUGUUUAGAAAAUCUACGCAAAGAAUUGUCUGCAAAGCAUCAAUCAGAAAUGGAGGAUUUACAAAACCAGUUUCAGAAAGAAUUGGCAGAACAGAGAGCUGAGUUGGAGAAGAUUUUUCAAGACAAAAACCAGGCUGAACGGGCCCUUAGGAACCUGGAGAGUCAUCAUCAAGCAGCCAUUGAGAAGUUACGUGAAGACCUGCAGUCCGAGCACGGCCGGUGUUUAGAAGACUUGGAGUUUAAGUUCAAAGAGAGCGAGAAAGAAAAACAGCUGGAGUUAGAGAAUCUUCAAGCAUCGUAUGAAGACCUGAAGGCGCAAUCACAAGAAGAGAUCAGGCGCUUGUGGUCCCAGCUUGAUUCUGCCAGGACCAGUAGACAGGAAUUGAGUGAGCUACAUGAGCAACUCCUGGCGCGCGCCUCUCGUGUGGAAGAUUUAGAACAGCUGAAGCAGCGAGAAAAAACCCAGCAUGAGUCCGAACUGGAGCAACUGAGGAUUUAUUUUGAAAAGAAGUUAAGGGAUGCUGAGAAAACUUACCAAGAAGACCUAACCCUGUUACAGCAGAGGCUGCAGGGGGCGAGGGAAGAUGCUCCUCUGGACUCUGUGGAAGUUGG
rnacentral:sRNA from 1 species